rnacentral:rRNA from 1 species
CCUACGGGGGGCUGCAGUGGGGAAUAUUGGACAAUGGGCGAAAGCCUGAUCCAGCCAUGCCGCGUGUGUGAAGAAGGCCUUCGGGUUGUAAAGCACUUUCAGUGGGGAAGAAAGCCUUGGGGCUAAUACCCUCGAGGAAGGACAUCACCCACAGAAGAAGCACCGGCUAACUCCGUGCCAGCAGCCGCGGUAAUACGGAGGGUGCGAGCGUUAAUCGGAAUUACUGGGCGUAAAGCGCGCGUAGGCGGUCUGAUAAGCCGGUUGUGAAAGCCUCGGGCUCAACCUGGGAACGGCAUCCGGAACUGUCAGGCUAGAGUGCAGGAGAGGAAGGUAGAAUUCCCGGUGUAGCGGUGAAAUGCGUAGAGAUCGGGAGGAAUACCAGUGGCGAAGGCGGCCUUCUGGACUGACACUGACGCUGAGGUGCGAAAGCGUGGGUAGCAAACAGGAUUAGAUACCCGUGUAGUC